GACGGAACCGUGCGAACGUUGUUCGGAAUCACUGGGCUUAAAGGGCGCGUAGGCGGUUCGCUAAGUCAGGUGUGAAAUCUCCGCGCGUCAACGCGGAGGGCCACCUGAUCUGGCGUGACUCGAGUCCGGGAGGGGAGAGCGGAACUCCUAGUGUAGCGGUGAAAUGCGCAGAUAUUAGGAAGAACACCGGUGGCGAAGGCGGCUCCGUCUGGGAACGGUGACUGACGCUGAGACGCGAAAGCGUGGGGAGCAAACAGG
rnacentral:rRNA from 1 species